rnacentral:rRNA from 1 species
GAUGAACGCUGACAGAAUGCUUAACACAUGCAAGUCGGUGGCGGACGGGUGAGUAACGCGUAAAGAACUUGCCUCACAGGUAGGGACAACAUUUGGAAACGAAUGCUAAUACCUAAUACUGUGAGAGAGCUUUGCGUCCCAUUAGCUAGUUGGAGAGGUAACGGCUUACCAAGGCGAGGAUGGGUAGCCGGUCUGAGAGGAUGAACGGCCACAGUGGGAAUGUGACACGGCCCAUACUCCUACGGGUGGCAGCAGUGGGGAAUCUUCCGAAAUGGACGAAAGUCUGGCGGAGCAACGCCGCCUUAGUGAUGACGGCGCUCGGGAUGGAUAGCUCUGUUACGCUGAACGCGGUAACGGAAUAGAAAGCCACGGCUAACUACGUGCCAGCAACCGCGGUAAUUC